rnacentral:rRNA from 1 species
UUGGAGGGCAAGUCUGGUGCCAGCAGCCGCGGUAAUUCCAGCUCCAAUAGCGUAUAUUAAAGUUGUUGCAGUUAAAAAGCUCGUAGUUGAAUUUCGGGAUCAAUAUGUCUGUCGUGCCUUUGGUACGUACGGGUAUAAUUGGUUUCUACCUUCUGAUGAACCUUGAUGCCAUUAAUUUGGUGUCUUGGGGACUCAGGACUGUUACCUUGAAAAAAUUAGAGUGUUUAAAGCAGGCAUACGCUUGAAUACAUUAGCAUGGAAUAAUGAAAUAGGACGUUCGAUUCUAUUUUGUUGGUUUCUAGGAUCGACGUAAUGAUUAAUAGGGAUAGUUGGGGGCAUUAGUAUUCAAUUGUCAGAGGUGAAAUUCUUGGAUUUAUUGAAGACUAACUACUGCGAAAGCAUUUGCCAAGGAUGUUUUCAUUAAUCAAGAACGAAAGUUAGGGGAUCGAAGACGAUCAGAUACCGUCGUAGUCUUAACCAUAAACUAUGCCGACUAGGGAUCGGAUGAUGUUAAUUUUUUAAUGACUCAUUCGGCGCCUUACGGGAAACCAAAGUGUUUGGGUUC